rnacentral:lncRNA from 1 species
CGCUUCCCGACUCUUCCUUGUUUGAGACCUUGUCGGCUUGUAUCCCACUCAGGUCCAGUUUGGGCUGCAGUUGAAAGAUUGCCUUCUUGUAGUUCUCAAAUUCGAGUUGGUAUGCAUCCGCAGAGGCAUCGACGAGCUCCACCUCAUAUUCCUUCGACUUGCAAAACUCGACCAGUACCCAAGAAGCUACCUCCCAAGCCCGAGUAUUCAUCGUCGAUAAGUUCUCCUUC